rnacentral:tRNA from 1 species
GGGAGAGUGGCCGAGCGGUUAUGGCGCGUGACUCAAGUUUUACGACUUGGACUGUUAACCAGUCUUGAGGGUUCUCGUAGGGAAACCUGCAUGGGUUCGAAUCCCAUCUCUCUCA